GGAGAUGUAGCGCUGGACUUGAGCUUGGUUUACGCCGUACAUGGACAGCCAUACCAUUGCACCCCCGACAGUCAGGCUCCAGAAGCUUUUUCCAGAACAUCUCACUGAUGCAAUGGCUAUCUUUGAAGAGGGCAACAAUGAAGACCCAUACGGAGGUCCUGAGAUGGCCACUGAAAAAGCCCAUCCACCCAAGGAGUGAGAUGCAGCUGAAAUCUCAAGCAAACCUCAAAUUGCUUUUGUCUUCUAUAGAGAGAGCAUCUUACUGUUCGCUCAUAGUCAUGUGUCGUGAAAUGGAAAACAAAACAAA